rnacentral:rRNA from 1 species
GACGAACGCUGGCGGCGUGCUUAACACAUGCAAGUCGAACGGGCCCGCCCCUGUUUUUGGGGGUGGGUUGAGUGGCGAACGGGUGAGUAUCACGUGAGUAACCUGCCCCCUGCUCCUGGAUAACUGCUUGAAAGGGCGGCUAAUACGGGGUGUGCCGGCUGGUCCGCAUGGGCCUGGUCGGGAUAGUUUCAUCUUCGGGUGUUUCGGUGGGGGAUGGGCUCGCGGCCUAUCAGCUUGUUGGUGGGGUGAUGGCCCACCAAGGCGGUGACGGGUAGCCGGCCUGAGAGGGUGGGCGGCCACACUGGGACUGAGACACGGCCCAGACUCCUGCGGGAGGCAGCAGUGGGGGGUAUUGCACAAUGGGCGGAAGCCUGAUGCAGCGACGUCGCGUGAGGGAUGGAGGCCGUCGGGUUGUAAACCUCUUUCUCCGGUGGUGAAGGCCCUGUCCGUUGCGGCGGGGUUGACGGUAGCCGGGGAUGAAGCGCCGGCUAACUGCGUG